UAUAAAAAUUAUCCGCCAUGAUAGGCAUUGCGCGCAUUGUGUCCAGCUCGUGCUUUAAUUGUGGCCGUUCCUUGUAGUUAUGGUUUGUGACAUUGACGGACAGGAUGCCGCAGGAGCUUUGUCGUCGUGAGCGGUCUCCUUUGUUCGAGUGUUCAGAAACGUUCUUCGAACACACA